ACCAAAAUCAUGCUAAAAAAUGAUACUAGUAAGAUUCUCAUUGCCAAGAGCAAGAUCAAGAUCGCAACGCAGAGAUCUGAUCCAGGCAUCAAGACAAUUAGAGAUAGAUUAAUUCCGUCAAGCUGAGGAAAAUUAAAUCCGAUUCUGCUAAGAUCGAUCAGCACGAUUUCUGGGUUAUUGAAUCUACAUUCGAAGCAGAUGAGCCUAUCGCAAUCGAAGCAGAUCAUGACCUCAAAAGAGGAAAAGGAAGAGGAAGUAGAAAAGGAAAUCGAAGUCGAGACCGAAACGAAAAGCCUCGAAAUCAGUUUGCAAGAGCUGAAGAAGGUUGUGGAAGAGGAGAUACCAAAUCAGGAGGAUGGAGCUUCAACCAGGCUUCAGAGUUUGGCUGAUUUGAUAAUGUGGAGAGAUACAGCAAGAUCAGCCUUUGUAUUUGGUGUUGGAGCAUUUGCCAUCAUUUCCACUUCAUACACCAAACACCUCAAUAUUAGCUGUAUCUCUCUUCUUUCCUACCUUGCUCUGCUCUAUCUUGCUCUAACUUUUGUUGCAGAUCCCUCAAAAGCAGGGAAAAAUUGAUGUGGAUAGCAAAGAUGAAGAGUAUGUUGUUGGAGAGGAAGAAGGUGUUUGGCUAAUAAAGUUGGUUUUGCCCUAUAUAAAUGGCUUCCUUUCCAAAUUGAGAAGCCUCUUUUGUGGAGAUCCAGCUACCACAAUCAAGUUGGCAGUUGUGCUGUUUGUUUUAGCAAGAUGUGGAGGCUACAUGACCAUCUGGAAAAUGACUAAAUUAGGUUUUUUUGGAGUUUUCGUGGUGCCAAAACUAUCUUCUGCCUACUCCUCACAGUUAAAUGCAUAUGGUCGUAUACUUGGAGUUUGUCUCCUCCGCUCCCGUACAUGACGGCCAACGCAUCCCAGAUAUGUUUGGCCAACCGUGGUUCGAUGUUCUAUAUGAGCCAUGUAAACACGCAAUGGUUGGCUUGCUGCCAUUGCGGGAAGGCUAGAUCUGUCCGUGGCGGGGAAGGAGGCACUCCAAUUAUGUGAGAAACCAUCCCCCUACCACUUAUCGCCUUUUGCAUCAGUACGACCCGUGUGGAGUAAUUCUCCCCAUUCAAUUUGUUUCAUCCGAUGUGCAGAGGUUGAGUAUCGAUUUUGUAGGUUAUUGGUGGUUCUGGUGGGUUAUUUGUAUCUUCUGGUUUGACUGUUGUUGGUGGCAUCAUCAUGGCAAAACUUUUGCUCAUGAUUUCAGCGAUUUGCCGAGCGAUCUCAUCCGACUGGGAUGAGACCAAUGUACUAUCGUCUUCUGACAUGGUUUAUUGGGUGGUUUUUUGCAGAUUUUGGCUAUAGGAUCGAGAGAGGUUAGGGACGAUGAUGAUAUGUUUCUGAGUCCUGCUCUGGUACCAUGUUAAGCGGUACACAAGAAGACAUAGAAAAUAGUUUGUAGAAAAGGAUGAUAAUUCCAUUGAAUAUAGUUCCCUUUAAAUAGGGAGUAGAACACAAUAUACAUGGUAAGUCUUGCACAAGGGAAAAGAAUAAUCCUAUUCUAUGAAACUUAUUUUGUCAAUUACGUGAUUUAGGUAAUUGAUCUUAAUUACAAUCUUUCCUUUCUUAACACUAUUCACUGCCAAUGUUAAUAUCUUUAAUAAAUUCAUUAAAAAUUACCAUAGUAUUAUAAUUAAUUCUCAAAUUAAUUAUGCACAUUCCUUACAUUAUCAUUUAUGAUAUAUAUAUAUAUAUAUAUAGUUGUGAUCAAUUGAGAUUUUUUAGCCUAAUUAAGAAUUGAGAUGCAUUGUCAACCACUCAUUUUUAUUUAAAGAGUGGUCCAGAAUUUGCCACAUAAAAAAAUAUUUUUAGAUUAAUUAAUUAAGAAAUGGCAGAAUGGUAAUUUCAUGUUUUAAUUAAUCUUCUUCAUCCCUUUCCCUAAUAUUUGAGCAUUAACUAACUUCUCUCCCUCUCUUCUUCUCGAAAUAAAUUGGACACUCGCAUGUGCCCAAUCUCGCUCUCUCUGCCCUCCGAUCUGAACUCCAUCAUCACUGUCGGCGAGCUCGAAGGCUCAGCUCUCCGCCUAUCUUCUUCUCUCAUCGCCGCUGCAAAUUCGCCGCAGUCACUGCCUGAAUCACGAAGGCUUCAGCGCCGCCCCGUCGUUGUUCGAUCCGUCAAUCAUUGCCGUUGAACUGACAUUGCUGCUCCGCCAAUGCCUUUCUCACGCCGUUGCUGUCACUGUAUGCCGUGAGAUCGUGAUCCACCGUUAUGCUUGCUCCAUCGUGGCGCUAUCGCCGUUGGUCAUCUUCCGACGGCGGAUCUCGUGCCGUCUGCUCACGCCUCCAGUCUCUUCAUGGCAAAUUCAGCGUCGUGGCAUUACUUCCGUCCCAAUCUAAAGCCUAUGUUGAUCUAACUCAUAGUAGCCCCUUGAUUCUUCACUUUCCUUCACCCUCUUGUGUUUGGCGAUUUGGGCGAUUUCUGUGAGAUUUCUCUCGGAUUUCAACGAUUCCUCAGCAUUCACACGAUUGUGUCUUUGAUUCAAAUCAAAAUCUCUCCUAUUUCUUCUCGGUUUUAUGUUUGUGGGUCCCGCUUUGAACUUGUAGAUAAAUUUUUGAAAUAUGUAGAUUAAUUUGAGAAGGCGAUUUAUUUGACGUCCAACAAUCAAGAUUGA